GUGCCAGCAGCCGCGGUAAUACGGAGGGUGCAAGCGUUAAUCGGAAUUACUGGGCGUAAAGCGCGCGUAGGUGGCUUGAUAAGCCGGUUGUGAAAGCCCCGGGCUCAACCUGGGAACGGCAUCCGGAACUGUCAAGCUAGAGUGCAGGAGAGGAAGGUAGAAUUCCCGGUGUAGCGGUGAAAUGCGUAGAGAUCGGGAGGAAUACCAGUGGCGAAGGCGGCCUUCUGGACUGACACUGACACUGAGGUGCGAAAGCGUGGGUAGCAAACAGGAUUAGAUACCCUCGUAGUCC
rnacentral:rRNA from 1 species